rnacentral:rRNA from 1 species
UACGGAGGGAGCGAGCGUUGUCCGGAUUUACUGGGUGUAAAGGGUGCGUAGGCGGCUCUGCAAGUCAGAAGUGAAAUCUAUGGGCUUAACCCAUAAACUGCUUUUGAAACUGUGGAGCUUGAGUGAAGUAGAGGUAGGCGGAAUUCCCGGUGUAGCGGUGAAAUGCGUAGAGAUCGGGAGGAACACCAGUGGCGAAGGCGGCCUACUGGGCUUUAACUGACGUUGAGGCUCGAAAGCGUGGGGAGCAAACAGG